UGGUUCCGCCCCAGCAGUUUGCCGGUCUGAAGAGAGCUGGUUGGAGGGAAUUUGACUCCGCCGGGCAGACCCUAGUCAGUUGAAGUAGGACUUGAGUUGGAAACUGCGGUCUCACCGCCUUUUUGUGGGAAAAGCACAUUUCUAGACUGCUUUCGCGCCGCCGCCAGCUGUGGGCUGGGACUGCAAGUCCCGGCCGGCACGAGUCCAGGAGUAGGGGCGGGAGAGGGCGGUGGUAGGAAGAGAGGCAUGCUGGGAACUGUAGUGUCUUCACGUUCACAGCAGAAAGAACCACUUCCAGGUGUGUCCUUCCAAUUGUCUUCCUGUGCAUUUGUAUACAGCGCAUGGGCUCUAGAUGCACUUCAGUCAUCGUGGCACACGGUUUAGUUGCUCUGCAGCAUGUGGGAUAUUCCCAGACCAGGGGUCAAACCCGUGUUCCCUGCAUCGGUGAGCAGAUUCUCAACCACUGGACCACCAGGGAAGUCCUAUGUUCACCAUUUCUUAACAUAUUGUAAGACCUUAGUACAUCAUGAGAAACACUGGACUGGAAGAAACACAGGCUG